AAGAAAGAAGCAUGAGAGGUUUAAUGCGGUUGGCUUGAAACCAUCAUAUGAGGGUUCGAUUCCUUCCUUUCUUG
rnacentral:tRNA from 1 species